AAACCAAAUCUUCAAAAAAACAUCGAUAUGAAUCACUCCCACGUGAAGAAACCCGUGGGGAAAAGUGAAUGUAUUAUCAGUAAGGAAUGGCGAAAUAAUUAGUUGGGAGACAUUUCCAGGGCCCACAUAGGGUGUUCUGACAGUGUAGAAGAUACAUUAUACAAGUGGAGUUUAAUUCUCUAUGCAAGCGGUAAAAGGUUUGCAAAUGAACGUUGAUUAAAGAAGGAGUACGAAAAAACAGGACGUUUGCAGUCUAAUUCCAACGAACAGUGCUUCAUAAUGUUAACUCAACUGUGUCAGGACCGUAGACUUGAUGAGACUUGAGUCAAGUUGAGGACAGACUUCGAGGAUGAGCAAGCAUUCAUUUACCUAUGAAAGUUUAGGUAUCAUUUUUUAAAAGCAGUUCCAUUUUGUGUUAGAGUAUGCAUUCUGGAUUGAAGGAAUGUUCUUUAUAGGAUUGCAUUAGUUAUACUCAUGCUACAUGAAGUAUUCACCAAGAAGAAAAGGUGGAGAACAAAAACAUGAGAGAACAGAAAGCAGCAUGAAAAUUGGGUGACUUGUUGUGGUAAUAUUAAAAGUUUUGAAAUAAAUUUUCUCACAACAAAGUUUA